UGGGGAAUCUUGGACAAUGGGCGAAAGCCUGAUCCAGCCAUGCCGCGUGAGUGAUGAAGGCCCUAGGGUCGUAAAGCUCUUUCGCCAGGGAUGAUAAUGACAGUACCUGGUAAAGAAACCCCGGCUAACUCCGUGCCAGCAGCCGCGGUAAUACGGAGGGGGUUAGCGUUGUUCGGAAUUACUGGGCGUAAAGCGCGCGUAGGCGGAUUGGAAAGUUGGGGGUGAAAUCCCGGGGCUCAACCCCGGAACUGCCUCCAAAACUAUCAAUCUAGAGUUCGAGAGAGGUGAGUGGAAUUCCGAGUGUAGAGGUGAAAUUCGUAGAUAUUCGGAGGAACACCAGUGGCGAAGGCGGCUCACUGGCUCGAUACUGACGCUGAGGUGCGAAAGUGUGGGGAGCAAACAGGAUUAGAUACCCCCGUAGUCC
rnacentral:rRNA from 1 species